GGAUGAGGCACAUCUCAACCUUCACCUUGAGGAACAGCCAAGAACAUCAGCCCGGAAACUACACACUGUGCUAUGUUUUAACAGAUAGGGAGCGUAACAAAACGCAAACCUAUGAUGAGUGCACAAGAGUUGUUUUUCUUGGAUCAACCACGACAGAUGACUGGUUAAGGCUCGCCAUAGGAGUUACAGUCACAAUUGGCGUUUUGCUUGUUCUUAUAAUCAUAUGUGUUCUUGUGGCGUGCUGUUGCAACUGCCGAGUGCGUCUUUGUUGUUUGAAGAAGACAUAGGAGUCAGGUAUGCCUCUCUGGCAUUAAAGAUACAUAGUGUCUACUGUACUUGUGUGGCGUAAAAGACACCUAGUUUAUCAAGUAUGACAAAAACAGUAUCAGAUAUGUCUCUGUGGCGUGACAUAAUAUCUAGUACGCCUGUGUGACGUGGGACACAUGGUAGCAAACAUGCUUCUUUAGCACGUGUGACAAAUAGUGUCCACAUGUAGUGUGCCCGUAUGGCGUGAAAUCUAGGCGUCGAAACAGACAUUCGUAAACCAACCGUCAACCAAUAAGGACGUUUCAGGUCAAUAAUCGCGAGGCCAAUUCCCCAAAACAACGCAUAACUCAAACCAUCAAAGAGCUAAGCAAGUAUAUAAAGUACGAAGUUGGCCUCUGUGGAAUGGACAAACAAAGGAUCAGGUGUGUCACUGUGGCAUCAAGAACAUAUACAUAUUGUCAAGUGUGUAUGGAAGAACAUACUUCCAAAUCUCGGUGAAGGCAUAUUCGAUUCAUGGGGAAUUUUGAUUCGUGUUUGGUAGAUGGCAUCUUGUCACGCUCGUAAGAAAGAGGCGGACUUCAGGAUACCAGAAAAGUAACUACGACACCGUACUCCAUGGCUUUGAACUGGAGAUCUUUUGUAAAGAAAACAACACAUAACAGCGCCUUUUCCUCACAACUAUUUAUAUCAAAGUUUCGUAUCUGUAUAGUCUUCUAACAUUUUCUGUCACCUACAUGCACUUUCUCCUCGCUCGUUCUCAAAACUGAACUGAGCCCAGGCAAAGCAGAUGGGAUAUAAGACUGAGUUGAUUGCCCACCAUGUGUCGAGCAACCUGAAAUGUUCACACCUAACCAGGAGCGGUGAUCGACAAGGUCUAACUUGAUCAAGACACUGUCCGGUUUUCAACAGUAGGCGCAUAGUAUAUGAUAUCUGGUAGGGUGGGGUUCAAACCUAGUUGAUUAUUUUUCAUUUUUGUCAUGUUUUUUUUCUCCAGUUUACCUGUUUUUGUAAAUACUGUUACAAUUUGUACAUGCAGGUUGAAUGUGUUUUUUCAUUUUCCAUUGUCUAUGUACUUUUAAUAAAGCUAUUCGUCGUUAUUUGUGACAACAGGUGUUGGUAAACAAAUGUUUUCCAAAUUUUUCUGACUAUGCCAAAUUCGUUCAGUGCAUUACUUUCAUGGUGUUUUCUUAUUUGACAUUCAAUUGGUCUUUAAUGACUGGCCACCGGUAUUGCUGUAAGGAACUUAAAAGCUUCAAUGUUUUGUUUGUUUUCGAAGCUAGCAAUUUUCCAUGUUGAAAUACUAGAAGAAUAAGUAUGCAUACUGGAAUAAAUUCCAUAUUAUUGAUGAAGGUGUAGGAAAAGAAAAGAAAAAAAUCUCAUCUUGCUCUUGGCCAUAUUUUUGCUAACGAACUGGGCUGUGAAGUCCUUCCCAGUGCAAACAGAAGACAUUAUAUUCAUAACUAAUCUUUCCUAUGGCUUAAGUUAAAGACAUUUGUGAUCCCUCUGUUCAACAUUUGCUUCAUUUAUAUAUCAUUAAUAUAUGUAUCAGUGUAUUUGACACGUCCUCAAAAUCCAACAUGAAUAUUUAGAUUUCAAGUAAAACUCUCAGUAGAUCUGAAUUGAUUGCACAGUCAACAGCUGUUAUCUAAAAACACCAAUAUACAAUUGUGAAAAUAAUGUGUAUGUAAUAUACACGUAUUAAGUGGUAUAAGAAUUGCACAGAAAUUAACUCUACAGAGGACAUUUUCAACACUAGAUAUUCCUCAGAUAUGUCACUUAUCUCUAGUUGAAAGUAAAUGUUUGAAUCUAUGUGUCUAAAAUUGUUAUAACUUAUUACAAUAUUUAUUUACAUACUGAAAGAGUUUUGUACUUACGCUUUUUUCUAAGUAUAUUUGCCGUAGAUUUUUUUACUUGACAAGACUCUUUGGUAUGACCUACGCAUG